GGGGUCGUCAGCUAGUCUGGUUUAGGCUGCACGGUUCGGGCCCGUGAAAGCAUGGGUUCAAAUCCCAUCGACCCCACCA
rnacentral:tRNA from 1 species